CAGCAUGCCGCGGUGAAUACGUUCCCGGGCCUUGUACACACCGCCCGUCACACCAUGGGAGUUGGUUUUACCCGAAGGCGCUGUGCUAACCGCAAGGAGGCAGGCGACCACGGUAGGGUCAGCGACUGGGGUGAAGUCGUAACAAGGUAGCCGUAGGGGAACCUGCGGCUGGAUCACCUCCUUUCUAAGG
rnacentral:rRNA from 1 species